GGAAUGAGGCUGCAGGGAAGGGGGCGCUUUGCCAUCAGCAGUACUACCGGCCAGGCCCUUGCCCGAGUGCCGCUUGAUCACCACUAAGAUCCAUUAUCGUGUCUGUGGUCUUGAAGCUUGACUUCCAAGGACCUUAGUUCGUUCAUCUAUUAAAUGAGAGGGCGUAUCGGCCAUUCAGUGAACUCCAGUUGAGAGGCAGGAGCAGCACAGAUUAUACCUCUUUAUCAUCCGCACUGCUGCUGGCCCUCUCAUUCCACAGUCUCCUCAAGCUGUGGUUCACAAAAAUGACAAAUUUGAUGUUGAUACUAUUGGAAAAUGGCUCAGAUAUUUUGUUAAUCUACAUCACAAUGUACAUAAAAACUAUAAAUAUCUUAAAAUAUAUUCGAUAUUUUCUUUAACAUUAUGCAGAACCAUGUAACCUUGUACUAAACUGAAGAUCUUUAAUACAGUUUUUGUACAAAAGGAUGUUAAACACAUGGAUUAAAAUUAUGGCAAAACAGGA